rnacentral:lncRNA from 1 species
GAUCUCUUGAGAGUGGAGGCCAAAGGUCAUCCUCUGAAGAGCCUUGGGUGCCAUUUCAAUGAGUGCCAUGGCUGGUCAGGUGGUGGUAAAGAGCCUUAGAGGAAUUCUGAACUAGAGAACAACACAGUCACUCUUAACGCUCUGAAAGGUCUCCACUCGAGUGAGUGGGGAGAGGGGUGUGGCAGCGUAGUCUCACGGGUGUGGAACACGUAAGCACAUAACAGAGUGUUUCGGAGGGAGGAUUCCCAGGCCUGCUCAUCUGAGAGGAGCUGGAGCAGGGUCUCCCAGGAGACUUCCGUGAAGAUCCUGGCAGAGGCGGCAGCACUGCAAGGCCUGGCAAGGGCUGAGUCUGUUUCUAAGUGGCUUACUCUCCCAGAGUCCAAU